rnacentral:rRNA from 1 species
GACGUAGGAGGCGAGCGUUGUCCGGAUUCAUUGGGCGUAAAGAGCGCGCAGGCGGCUUGGUAAGUCGGAUGUGAAAUCCCGAGGCUCAACCUCGGGUCUGCAUCCGAUACUGCCCGGCUAGAGGUAGGUAGGGGAGAUCGGAAUUCCUGGUGUAGCGGUGAAAUGCGUAGAGAGUGUGGAGGAACACCGAUGGCGAAGGCAGCCCCCUGGGCUAACACUGACGCUCAUGCACGAAAGCGUGGGGAGCAAACAGG